rnacentral:lncRNA from 1 species
CCCCCCGCCCGCCCCGGCACCCCUGCCCCGGGGCCGGACAGCGCUGGUGGCUCGCUCUCGGGCCACCCCCGGGCACGGGUGCGCGCGAGCACUGGGACGCGCGCGCGCGCGCGCACGCACCCUGGGCUGAACGCCCGGGCGUGCGAGCCGGGGCUCCGCGCACGCACCGAAUCUUGGACGCGAACGGGGCACCCGGCCUCUCCCUGCCUGGUGCACGAACCUACUGACACGCGUUGCACUUCAGAGUCGUGCAAACCCCUGCCCCAGCGCGGGCCAAUAGAAAAGGGUGUGAGUGAGCCUUCCUGCGUCUAGGGGGAGCAGGGGCGACGGAUAGGCUAAGGGAGCAAGACUUUCCGUGGCGCACCAGGACUGCGCACCCCCUGCGCAGAGUCGGCGCGGGGCGCUGCGCGCAGGGCCAUCCAGGCUUGCCCCAGGGCCCAGCCCGAAGCUACCACCCUCGCUGCCUGGGCAGCAUCUGUUCAUCCCUCCUUCCUCCUCCCAAAGGCUGGAAAUGGUGUGCACAUCCAUCCAAGAGACUCCAAAGAACAAAGCCUAAAGCCAGGUGUGGCAGUGCACGCCUGUGAGCCAAGCACUUGGGAGGCUGAGGCAGGAGGAUCACUGUGAGUUCGAGGCCACCCUGAACUACAUAGCAAGACCGUCUCUGAAAAAUCAAAAAAUAAAUAGUAGUAAUAAAAGAAAA